GUGACCCCAGGUCAGGCGGGACUACCCGCUGAGUU
rnacentral:rRNA from 1 species